rnacentral:lncRNA from 1 species
CCCUUCCAGGACCCUUAUAACCCACCCCAAUAGCCCUUUACCCUUCCAGGACCUUUCCAACCCACCCCAAUAACCCCAAUGUCCCUUUCCCCUUCCAGGACCUUCCCAUCCCAUUCAAAGCCCCAUUUUGCCCUUCCAGGACCUUUAUAACCCACCCCAAUGCCCCUUUACCCUUCCAGGACCCUCCCAACCCACCCCAUCUAUUCAUCUCAUGCCCCUUUACCCUUCCAGGACCUUUCUAACCCACCCAACCCAUUCACCCCCUGUCCCUUUCCCCUUCCAGGACCCUUAUAACCCAUUCAAAGCCCCAUUUUCCCCUUCCAGGACCUUUAUAACCCAAUUAACCCACCCCAAUAGCCCUUUUUCCCCUUCCAGGACCCUUAUAACCCACCCCAAAGCCCCUUUACCCUUCCAGGACCUUCCCAACCCACCCAACCCAUUCACCCCCUGUCCCUUUCCCCUUCCAGGACCCUUAUAACCCAUUCAAAGCCCCUUUUUCCCCUUCCAGGACCUUCCCAACCCACCCCAAUAACCCCAAGACCCUUUAACCUUCCAGGACCUUUCCAACCCAACCCAACCACUCCAUGUUGUGACCUUCCAGGACCUUCCCAACCCAACUCAACUACUCCAUGCUGUGACCUUCCAGGACCUUCCCAUCCCAUUCAAUGCCCCAUUUUCCCCUUCCAGGACCCUUAUAACCCAUUUAAUGCCCCAUUUUCCCCUUCCAGGACCCUUAUAACCCAUUUAAAGCCCAUUUUCCCCUUCCAGGACCCUUAUAACCCAUUUAAAGCCCCUUUACCCUUCCAGGACCCUCCCAACCCACCCCAACCCAUUCACCCCAUGGUUCUUUCCCCUUCCAGGACCUUCCCAUCCCAUUCAAAGUCCCUUUUUCCCCUUCCAGGACCUUUAUAACCCAAUUAACCCACCCAAUGCCCCUUUACCCUUCCAGGACCCUCCCAACCCAACCACCCCAAAGCCCCUUUAACCUUCCAGGACCCUUCUAACCCAAUUAACCUACCCCAAAGCCCCUU